rnacentral:rRNA from 1 species
GUGAGGAAUAUUGCGCAAUGGAGGCAACUCUGACGCAGCCAUGCCGCGUGCAGGAAGAAGGCGCUACGCGUUGUAAACUGCUUUUAACCGGGAAGAAACCCCAGGACGUGUCCUGGGUUGACGGUACCGGAGGAAUAAGCACCGGCUAACUUCGUGCCAGCAGCCGCGGUAAUACGAAGGGUGCAAGCGUUAUCCGGAUUCAUUGGGUUUAAAGGGUGCGUAGGCGGAGCGUUAAGUCAGUGGUGAAAUCCUGCAGCUUAACUAUAGACUUGCCAUUGAUACUGGCGCUCUUGAGUGCGCUUGAAGUGGGCGGAAUGUGCCGUGUAGCGGUGAAAUGCUUAGAUAUGGCACAGAACACCAAUUGCGAAGGCAGCUCACUAAGGCGAUACUGACGCUGAGGCACGAAAGCGUGGGGAUCGAACAGGAUUAGAAACCCUGGUAGUCC